CAUAUUUAAGGGCUGGGAACAGCAAGGGCAGUAUUCUGCUUGGGAACUGCCUUGCGGGGAGCAUUGGGAGUGAGUUCUGCCCUUUGGAAUGGGGGCUGUGACCUUUCCUGUUUUUGGGGCAUCCUGACCACAUUUAAGUGCUGGCAGAUGUAAGGGCAAUGUUGAUCUCUGGAGACUGUCUCCUGUGGAGCAUGAUAUCCUGACCACUUUCAAGGGGUGGAAGCCAUAAGGGCAGCAUCUGUGCCUGGAGGCUACUUCCUUGGCAGUGUGGGCUGAGUGUUCAUCUUUGGAAUGGGUAGCUCUGCAGCUCUGGUUCCCAGCAGCGUGAUGAACUGAAGCCCCUGGUCUGCUGAAUACUGGGACUGGCCCAGAGAGGCUCUGUGACGGAUGUGGAUUAUCCCAGCUGGAGUACCUGGUACCAUUGGUGGUGAUCUUGUCCAACUGCCACACAACGGACAGGAACAUCCACAGCCAGAUCAGGUUGCCCAGAGGCUGACCCAGCCUCACCUUGGAAGGGACAGAGCAUCUAUCACAUGUCUGGUGUUGAAAGGCUGUUACCAGAUCACCUCGGAGCCUUCACUUCUCCAGGCUGAACAGCUCCAGCUCUCUCUCUUUAUAGGAAAGGCGUUCCAUCCCUCAGUUCAUAUUUGUGGCUGUUCUCUGGAUGUGCUCCAACAGCUCCACAUCUGUCCUGCACUGCGGACAUCCACAUCCAGACACAGCACCUCCAGAUGAGGUCUCACAGCACAGAGCAGAGGGGCAGGACCGCCUCCCUUCGCCUACUGACUGCACAUCUUUGGAUGGAGCCCAGCAUACGGUUGGCUUUCUGGGCCAGGAAGGUACAUUGCUGAGUGCCCACUACUCAGCCUGUUGAGGUCCCUCUGGAUGGCAUCCCGUCCCUCUGGUGUGUCACUGCACCCCACAGCUUGGUGUCAUUAGGGUGCACUUGACCCCACUGUUGAUGUCACUGAUGAAGGGGCAAUUCCAGAUGUUUGUACAAACUCAGCAAAGAACACCUUGAGAGCAGCCCCACAGAGAAGGAUUUGCAGAUCCUGGUGGGUGAGAAGCCGGACAUGAGCCAGCAGAGUGUGCUUGCAGCCUGGAAGGCCAGCUGUGUUCUGGACUGCAUUAA